GGGUAUAAGGGAAAGGUGAGUCAUCGAAUCUUUGAACGCACAUUGCGCCCGCUAGUACUCUAGCGGGCAUGCCUGUUCGAGCGUCAUUUCAACCCUCAAGCCCUGCUUGGUGUUGGGGCCCUACGGCUGCCGUAGGCCCUGAAAGGAAGUGGCGGGCUCGCUACAACUCCGAGCGUAGUAAUUAUUAUCUCGCUAGGGAAGUGUGGCGGGCUCCUGCCGUUAAAGACCCCAUCUUUAACAAGGUUGACCUCGGAUCAGGUAGGAAUACCCGCUGAACUUAAGCAUAUCAAUAAGCGGAGG
rnacentral:misc_RNA from 1 species